rnacentral:lncRNA from 1 species
UCCAAAUUUCUUCUGCAACUUUCAUCUAUCAUCCUCCAUUAAUUGCCCUUAGCCUCCAUCUUCAGUUUAAGUACAUAAUUGUCUUCAAUUAAUGUUCUCCAAUUCAAGCACUUCAUCUUCAUCUUCAGCUUUUGCUUCAUCAGGGCGCCACUCUCGUUUUUAGCUUUCUUCAUUUAGCCUAUCUUCAAGAAGCAAUCUCGUCUCCCUUCUCCAAUAUCAUUACACCUCCUCUUGCUUCUGUUUAUCUUCCCCUCUACUACGUUUUAUUUAUCCUCUUGUUUAUAUUUUUAUUGUUUUUCUCUUCUAUGACUCAGGUG